ensembl:lncRNA
GUCCAUGGGGUCACAGAGUCAGACACGACUUAGCAACUGAACAACAACAACAAACGGGCUUAGGAAUGUUUCUUGUUUCUUGGCCUAAAUAAAUAUACUGUGAAAAAGGUGUGUUUUCUCAGCAGCUUGAAGCUCAGACCUGCACAGCAGACAACCUCGGGCCUGCUUCCACAGAUGCGAUCUCCUUCUGUCUCAGCCCCAGUGCCUGGAUGGGGACCCCAGCCCCCGCCCCCUCAGCCCCAGCAGAGCCUCCAGCCCUGGACCUGCAGUCAGAGCCCUCAUCAGGGUGGUCCCUGGACCCGGGGUGGGGCAGCUCUGAGCCACUGUGUUCUUCCAGCUGGCCAGCCCAGACCCUGCCCUGCCCCCAUACAAGCACCCAAGCCACCUGUCUGCGAGGAUGAGGACCUGGGCUCUUCCCUGAGCCUGAGCUGCCUCCUAGGAGGAGGGGUGCCCUUUCUGCUCCCGAGGGCUUCCAGAGGAGGCCAGCCUUGGAGACCUGGGCAGAGCUGCCAUGAACCCCCAGGGUCACACCGCGCAGGGAACACGCGCCUCCCCCAAGGCCAGGAGACCUCGCCGCAGUGGGCGGCUGCACCUGACCGCUGUGUCCCCAAGGAGGCUCUGCCGGCUGCAGCUCCACGUCCCGGGGUCCUCCCCCGGGGCUCCACAUCCUGGGGUGCCCCCGCUGCGGCCCUUCGCCCCCGGGGUACCCCCUCACACAGGACUGACACUGCAUCUGGUGUGAGCAGUUGGCCCCUGCGGGCUCUUUGCCAGGGGCCACAUCACCCCCAAAUUCGGUCCAUCUGUUCCCAGGUCCACAGGUUGUGGGGUGCCCCAGUCUGCCUCCUGGGGGGGCACGUCCUCGCCCCAGCCUGGACCGGACAGUGUCCACAGCCUCCAGCCACAGACGCUGAGGCCACCGCCGCCUGUGGGAUUCUGUGGCCACUCUGAACUCCUGGGUUCUGGCUGGCAGCAGGCGGAGGCUGGUCCGUGGGUGACCCGUGCAGGAACCGGCAGGGCCAAGAGCAAGGAAUCGAGGUUCCCCUGCCCCAGGAGGGCAUGUGGCUGAGGCUCCCGGAGCAGGUGACAGCCCCUCCCAGGAGGGCCAACAGGACCCAGGGGAAGGGGCAUUGCUUGCAGGGCAAAGGCUGCCUGGCCAAGGGAGGAGAGUGUGACGUGCUGUGGGGCUGGCCUGGCGGCCGGGGACGGAUUCCUAAUUCAGCCGGAGCCUGUGGAGUCAGCCUUGUUUAUUCUUGGCAGGAAGGCUGGUCCUGGGGGGUGGGGGCAGGGGGAGUAAAGCCUUUUCAAAAAAUAAUAAUAAUAAAAAUGCUCAUUUAGAAGGCUCCCAAGACGUGCUGAACUCCAAAAGGGUCCUGGAAAAAAUGCUGAGAAGGUUUAAGUGUAAAUGGACCCAAAACACCAUAAUUAAAUUUCCCUUAAAUUUACCAGAGUUUGGGGUCAAAGAAAAAAUAAAACUCAGGGAAAAUACACUUGAGGUUUCAGGCAAAUGCCAAGUGCUUAGGAAAAUAGAUUUCUGAGCUGCUCAGCGGCUACCGGCCUGGCCCCCGCCAGCCCCGGGAGCUGUGGAGGCCUUAACCCCUCCCUGGCCAGCAGCGGGUCCGUCUCCACUGCCCUCCUUCCCCAGGCCACCCCCCUGGGGGCCACCACCACAGGCGGGCUGGCCCUCUCUGGCCAGACUCUCCCCCAGCCAGCACCUCCUGCCCUUGGGCGCUUUGAGGCAGCCCUCUGUGCCAGGCUCCAGUAGGGGUUGGGGAAUAGACCUCCCCGGCCCCCUCCCCGUAGCUGGGAUGGCACCCAGGAGAACCCACGCCACACCCCUCCCACCAUUACCCUCCUGUCUAUAGACAGCACUGUCCUUUUAUUGCUCAUCUGGGAGCAACCACAUUUUCCAAACCUAAAGUCAGGAUUUGAGGUCUAGCAUUCAGUGUGAACCAAGGGCAGGAGUGUCUGCACUGGCGCUGUCAGCGCACAUCGGAGAAGACGGCCUCCGACAGCACAUGAUUCACGGUGUUGCCCUUUUUGCUCAGCCUGCCAGGAAGCUCAGAGCUAAAAUUAAGGACCUUGUACAACAGUUAGUGUUGGCCACCAGACCUUGGAAUUUCUCCUCUUUUCCAUGUUCUUUAAAAUCUCCGCUAUAACGAGCAAGUCAACUGUGCUUUUUUAUUUUCUGAGGAUGAAUUUAAAAGGCAGAAAUCACCCACGAUGUACAACAGGGCUUCCCUGUGGCUCAGCUGGUAAAGAAUCUGCCUGCAGUGCAGGANNNNNNNNNNNNNNNNNNNNNNNNNNNNNNNNNNNNNNNNNNNNNNNNNNNNNNNNNNNNNNNNNNNNNNNNNNNNNNNNNNNNNNNNNNNNNNNNNNNAGGGCUUCCCUGUGGCUCAGCUGGUAAAGAAUCUGCCUGCAGUGCAGGAGGCUGCAUUUGAUCCCUGGGUUGGGAAGAUCCCCUGGAGACGGGAAUGGCUGUCCACUCCAGUGUUCUUGCCUGGAGGAGUCCAUGGACAGAGGAGCCUGGCGAGCUAUAGUCCAUGGGUCACAAAGAGUCAGACACGACCUCUCUCAGGUCCACUUGUUUUUCCUUGGAGGGAGGGACCUAGUUCAGCCCAGCCCGGCAGGGCGUCCCAGGGGCCCCUGUUCAUCCCUAGUUGACCUGCUCUGAGCCCUGGGGCCCAGCUCCUGGGCCCUGACAGCAGGCAGGGGUGGCAGUGACUUCCAAAGACGGUGAACAUGUGCUGGGAGAAGGGGGGAGCUCGGAGACGGAGCUGCCCCUGCAGGGGGUCCCCAGAGCCUCCUGAAAGAGAAGCUGGGCACUGGACAUCUGAAGGCCUCGGUCUCCCCCAGCCCAGCCCCGAGUCCACGGCCGCCCCUCCCUGGGCCCGAGUCCCUGACGGGGCUAAGUGGAAGGCUCUGGCUGGGACUCCCCUGCCCUGGGCCCCUGGCUUAGCUCUGGCCUUGAUGGGUGCCUGUUGGGCACUGUGGCGGCCACAGUGGGCAGGAGAGCUGUGGAUGUAGGCAGGGCAGGGACUGAAACNNNNNNNNNNNNNNNNNNNNNNNNNNNNNNNNNNNNNNNNNNNNNNNNNNNNNNNNNNNNNNNNNNNNNNNNNNNNNNNNNNNNNNNNNNNNNNNNNNNGUGGAUGUAGGCAGGGCAGGGACUGAAACUCCCCUGAGCUGAGUGCACCUUGGCGCCGUGAACCCAGUGUCAGCCCAGGCCGGGCUGGGGGGUGAGGAGGGGUUGGGGGGGGCUGGGUGGUAACAGCCCGCUGGGAUCCGCACCCAGGGCCCACGGCGGCCCGCUCACCCGCACAAGCCCCAGCAUGCAGGGCCGCCCAGCUCUGACUCACCCAUCGGGCUGGGCUGGGCCCGGCUGCCCUCUGCCUCCACACCCACCUUCCUUCCCCAUGCUGUGGUCCUUGGGAGGUGGGGUCGGUGUUUGGGGGUGGGGAGAGGGCUCCAGUGGGCCUGAGGAGGACUCAGCCCGGCCGAGCUGCAGGGGGUCUCGGGGGAGAUGCCCUGUCAACAGGCUGUGAUGAAACCCUGGCUACCAGGGGCACUUUGGAGGCCACCUCCAUUGGCCAUCCUGGGGAACUGGCAUGGGGGCACGCCCGCCGUCUGAAGAAGGUCCUGUGGGACAGCUUGCUCCAGCUGAAUGUGCUGACUUGGAAACAAUAAUUGUGGACAAAUAAAAUUAUUUUGUCAAGAAUAAUAAAAAUGCCUUUGAGCGGUGCCCUCCCCUGGUGACAAGGGUGGGGCCAAGUGGGCAGCGACUCCUCCGGGGCUGGCAAGAGCAGCAUCAGACCCUCUGGAAGCAAUUUGGCAGAGUCCUCUGCCAAGAGCCAUGAAAACGCUCCUGAACUCUGACCUAGAUGCCACCUGAUGGUGCCGCUGGAGACAGGCUGCAGUGGAGGGACCACUUCAAACCGUGGGCAGCACCAAAGGUACCAGCCACCACGGGGGGAGGGUGUGUGGUGAAGGGCAGGAGGGGGCCUCCAAAAGGGAGAUCCGCUCCUGGAGCCUGGGAAUGCGACCUUAUUUGGAAAAAGAGACUUUUACAGUCAUUAAAUUAAGCUCAUGAGAUCAAGAGAUCAGCCUGGAUUAUCUGGGUGGCCCUACAUCCAGAGACAAGUGUCCUUAUACAAUGGAAGAAAAACCAUGUGGCUAUGGAGGGGAGACUGGGGUGGAUGCAGCCGCAAGCCCAGGACAGCCAGGAACCACCAGCAGCAGGAAGAGGCGGGAAGGACCCUCCCCUGGAUUCUGAGAUGGGGCUGGGGAGUGCGGGGCCGGGGACAGCCCCACUGACACCUUGAUUUCAGACUGUUGGCCCCUAGAACUGGGAGAGACUAAAUUUCAGCCAACUGGUUUGUGGGAAUUUGUGCAGCAGCCCUGGGAAGCGGAUCCAGGGUAUCGAGCACCCAGAGGCCAACCAGGGCCCUUUGCUGGAGGAAGUGGGUACUCAGGGCCCACUCUGGCGGGCACAGUGGGAGUGCCCUCUGCCCUCGCCUGCUAGCAGUGCCCACAGGCCAGACCCACAUGGAAGCGGACGGUGCCCCUGGCCAGUCUGGGGGACGCGGGCUUGACCAGAGCAGGCAAGCAAGGCGGCACACAGCAGAGGCGCUGACCUGCCGGGAGGGCACAGAGCAGCCGGCCCUUCUGUCAGCAAGUCCACGCUUGCUCUGCUCGCCGCGCAGCAGCCCAGUGAGCCAGAGACGAGGGGCUGAGAGCCGGUGGCUGAGAAGGUGGCACACUAAUGUCUCACAACAGCAGCCUCACUGGGGUCUGGAUGCCAGCUUCUUCCACAGAUCAGGGACGGGGGGAGGUGAGGAAGCAAAGGCAAAAGUCCAUGAAUGCUGCAAAUACCUCCUAGAAUGGCAAGCCUUAGGCAGGAUGAUGUGUUGAUUUCUUCCUCCCUGCCAUCUGGAGGAAGGUGGACAAGGUGCUCAACCAAGGCACUUUUUAACAGGCAGAGGAGCAGGAUUCUCCAAGACAGGCCAUUCUGUAUGAUUGUAAUUAAAAAAAAAAAAAGGAAUGGCAAGCAAGUCAAACAAAUAGUUCCAACAUAGAGUCAGACUUGACUUUUCCCUGCGACACUUCAGGGUCCCAGGGUCUAGCUGGCCCCAAAGGCUGGGGUGUCUCCAGGCUGCACCUGGAACAGCAGGAUGGCCGGAGCGGCAGGUCAGAGGCACUCUCCUCGACCGAUCUGCUGAUGGGCACAUGGAGUUUGAGAAGCCAGAGGUGCUUGGCUGUGGGGCCCAGCUCCUGCAGGCCCCCCUCCCCCCUCUCCAGGCAUCUCAGGCUUUGCCACCAGCUCCCCACCGCGGCCUUCCUCAGAGCCCCAGAGUGGGGGUCCUGCACCUGGGCCGCCCAGCCCCGCCCUGCAUUCUCACAGCGAGCACCUUGUCUCACAGCGAGCACCCUGUCUCCAAACUCCUCCCUGGGGUGCCGUGUGCUUGGGGAACCGUUCUGGCCGGGAACUCAGGCAGCUGAGCUCUGCGAGCAUUCAGCAGGCGCUUCAUAAAUGCAGCAGCAGGCCCCUAGCAUCCCAACCCCAGGCGGCAGGCCGAACUGGCCUAGGCUGCAGGCUUUCUGGGCUGCUCACGCCCCGGGGCCUAGCCUGUGCGGCUCCGUCUCGGUGAAGCCUCCCUGACAAGUCUCACCCGCAGAGACCACCCCUCUCUACGCCCCCUCUCCAUCCAGCCUUCCCCGGGCCUGAGCCCCUGGUCGGCGGCCCGGUGGCCACCGGGACAGGGCGCUGUGCAGAGAAACCC